CCUACGGGGGGCAGCAGUGAGGAAUAUUGGUCAAUGGGCGAGAGCCUGAACCAGCCAAGUCGCGUGAAGGAUGAAGGAUCUAUGGUUUGUAAACUUCUUUUAUAUGGGAAUAAAGUGAGGAACGUGUUCCGUGUUGUAUGUACCAUAUGAAUAAGCAUAGGCUAACUCCGUGCCAGCAGCCGCGGUACUACGGAGGAGGCGAGCGUUAUCCGGAUUUAUUGGGUUUAAAGGGUGCGUAGGUGGUUAAUUAAGUCAGCGGUGAAAGUUUGUGGCUCAACCAUAAAAUUGCCGUUGAUACUGGUUGUCUUGAGUAUAGUUGAGGUAGGCGGAAGGCGUGGUGUAGCGGUGAAAUGCUUAGAUAUCACGCAGAACUCCGAUUGUGAAGGCAGCUUACUAAACUAUAACUG
rnacentral:rRNA from 1 species